rnacentral:rRNA from 1 species
GGCAGACGGGUGAGUAAUGUAUAGGAAUCUACCUAGUAGUACGGAAUAAUUGUUGGAAACGACAACUAAUACCGUAUACGCCCUACGGGGGAAAAAUUUAUUGCUAUUAGAUGAGCCUAUAUUAGAUUAGCUAGUUGGUGGGGUAAUAGCCUACCAAGGUAAUGAUCUAUAGCUGAUCUGAGAGGAUGAUCAGCCACACUGGAACUGAGAUACGGUCCAGACUCCUACGGGAGGCAGCAGUGGGGAAUAUUGGACAAUGGGCGAAAGCCUGAUCCAGCCAUGCCGCAUGAGUGAAGAAGGCCUUUGGGUUGUAAAGCUCUUUUAGUGAGGAAGAUAAUGACGGUACUCACAGAAGAAGUCCUGGCUAACUCCGUGCCAGCAGCCGCGGUAAUACGGAGAGGGCUAGCGUUAUUCGGAAUUAUUGGGCGUAAAGGGCGCGUAGGCUGGUUAAUAAGUUAAAAGUGAAAUCCCGAGGCUUAACCUUGGAAUUGCUUUUAAAACUAUUAAUCUAGAGAUUGAAAGAGGAUAGGGGAAUUCCUGAUGUAGAGGUAAAAUUCGUAAAUAUUAGGAGGAACACCAGUGGCGAAGGCGUCUAUCUGGUUCAAAUCUGACGCUGAAGCGCGAAGGCGUGGGGAGCAAACAGGAUUAGAUACCCUGGUAGUCCACGCUGUAAACGAUGAAUGUUAAAUAUGGGGAGUUUACUUUCUGUAUUACAGCUAACGCGUUAAACAUUCCGCCUGGGGACUACGGUCGCAAGAUUAAAACUCAAAGGAAUUGACGGGGACCCGCACAAGCGGUGGAGCAUGUGGUUAAUUCGAUGCAACGC